UACGUAGGGGGCAAGCGUUGUCCGGAUUUAUUGGGCGUAAAGAGCGUGUAGGCGGCCAGACAGGUCCGUUGUGAAAACUCGAGGCUCAACCUCGAGAUGUCGAUGGAAACCGUCUGGCUAGAGUCCGGAAGAGGAGUGUGGAAUUCCUGGUGUAGCGGUGAAAUGCGCAGAUAUCAGGAAGAACACCUAUGGCGAAGGCAGCACUCUGAGACGGUACUGACGCUGAGACGCGAAAGCGUGGGGAGCGAACAGG
rnacentral:rRNA from 1 species